AUUGAACGCUGGCGGCAUGCUUUACACAUGCAAGUCGGACGAGUGGCGAACGGGUGAGUAACGCAUCGGAACGUACCUAGUCUAGGGGGAUAACUGUCCGAAAGGGAAGCUAAUACCGCAUAUUAUUCGAUCGGCCGAUGUCUGCUUAGCUGGUUGGUGGGGUAAAGGCUCACCAAGGCGACGAUCAGUAGCGGGUCUGAGAGGAUGAUCCGCCACCCUGGGACUGAGACACGGCCCAGACUCCUACGUGAGGCAGCAGUGGGGAAUUUUGGACAAUGGGGGAAAUCCUGAUCCAGCCAUGCCUCGUGUCUGAAGAAGGCCUUCGGGUUGUAAAGGACUUUUGGCAGGGAAGCGGUACCUGAAGAAUAAGCACCGGCUAACUACGUGCCAGCAGCCGCGGUAAUUC
rnacentral:rRNA from 1 species